rnacentral:lncRNA from 1 species
AGAAGCACGACGGGCCAACCCAACUAAACGGCCUCCUUUCCUUUUAGGAACCGCCUACAAAAAUAUUUAAAGUAAGUAAAUAUGGACAAGUAAGUAAUCGACAUUAUAAAAAAAAUAUAUUAAUAAAAAAAAUUACCUUUUCAACCAUCUCAUUUAUUUGCAAUAGAGACAGGUUGGUUGAAGCUCCCGUGGAGUCGCCGUCAUCAGAGAGAGGCUGAGAUUGAGAAACUAUCUCAGCUUCCACCAAAUCAACUACACCUCUGAUCACGGGGUCCUGAAUUUGACCCGUCGUCUUGUUAGUGUGAGCCACCUUAAUGAGUUGGAGACGAUCAACGGGAUUACCGUCAUUUGCUUCGAUCUAAAAAAACCGCCAUUAUUAGCCAAAAAAUAUAUAAAAUAUUUAUUUAAAAAAUAUAAAGAUAAAUAAUAAUAAAAAACUUACAAGUUCAUCCUCCUUAGUAGACAUGGAGCAAGCGCCGAGGUUGUGCACAUACAUACCUUUCCCGCCACGAUCGCUCUUCCGGUUCCUGGAGUUCCUAGAAGACGUCUCUGCAGUGUCUUCCCUCUCCCAAUGAGCUAUCAACUGCUCCCACACCCCCCCGUUGAUGAACCGUGGCUUCUUGUUCUUCUGCCAAACUGUCUUCCACGCGUUUAUCUGCUUUGUGUAAGAGUCCAUGGCCUUUUCGUUGAAUUUCUUACGGACUGUUUCCGUAAGAUCGGAGUGCCAGUUGAACUCUUGCUACAAAACAAACACAAUUUAAUAAGUAAAUAUAUGUAAAAAAAUGUAAAAACUUAAAAAAAAUGAAGGGUUACUAUACCGCAAACUGACGAAACCACAACUCUCGUUCGUCGGAAGGGAUCACACUCCACUUUGGAUAUCCAAAACGGAGCAUGGAGUACAUCAUCUGGUUGAUGCUCCGGCUAAUGCCAUUUUUCGACUUGGUGAACCUUUAAAAAAAAAUACAAGUUAGCAAGUUAAUUAAAGCAAAAAAUAUAACGGUACAAAUAAAAAAAAAUACUAACCAAGUGCUAUGGCCUCGUCGUGGGUUGAGUUGGAGAAACGGGAGAUGCUCUCGACCUGGUUGUUGAACCAAUAGAUGAACCGGCAUGACCCCCGGAUCCUGUUGAGCAGCAGCGUGAGGGGCAGCGUGAGGGGCAGAGGGAGCUGGAGCGGGAAUAUAUGCGGGAACCGAGUCAUGAGACGAUACCGAUGCACGGGAACCGCUCACCGAACUACGUCGAAGACGGGCUGCGGGGCGGGCUUCAUCCUCGGCCCUAAAAAAAAAAAAUUAACCCAUCAAACAUAUUUUCAUUUAUAUAUUUACAAAAGGUUUUAUAAACGUUUUAAAAAAAACUAUUAAACUUUAUAUAUAUAUAUAUAUAUAUAUGUAUACAAAAUUAUAAAAAAUUUAUAAAUAUAGAAAAAUGUUGUUAAAAAUUUAUAAAUGAAGAAAAAUGUUGUUAAAUAUUUAUAUUUUAAAAAAAAAAUGUUGUUAAAUAUUUAUUAGUGGAAACUUAAAAAAAAAUAUAAAAAAUUUUAAAAUUUUAAAAUUUUUACUAUACAUGAUUUACAUAUAUAUAUAUGUAUACAAAAUUAUAAAAAAUUUAUAAAUAUAGAAAAAUGUUGUUAAAAUUUAUAAAUGAAGAAAAAUGGUGUUAAAUAUUUAUAUUUUUUUCAAAAAAACGUUUUUAAAAACCAAAAAACGUUUUUAAAAAUCAAAAAACGUUUUUAAAAAUCAAAAAACGUUUUUAAAAAUCAAAAAACGUUUUUAAAAAUCAAAAAACGUUUUUAAAAAUCAAAAAACGUUUUUAAAAAUCAAAAAACGUUUUUAAAAAUCAAAAAACGUUUUUAAAAAUCAAAAAACGUUUUUAAAAAUAAAAAAACGUUUUUAAAAAUCAAAAAACGUUUUUAAAAAUCAAAAAACGUUUUUAAAAAUCAAAAAACGUUUUUAAAAAUCAAAAAAUGUUCCAAAAAAAACUAAAACAACAAUCCUAACUUAUAUAUCCUAAACUAUCCAUUCAAUCCUAAAAUGUUCAAUCAAACAACCUAAAAUCCGAGAUCAACUUCCAAAACCCUAAACAAUGGAAAAAAAAAAGGUUUGGGAUGAUUCUUACAUGAUUUGGGGUUUGGGGAAGAGAUAGGAGGGUGAGGAGAGGAUUCGCCGGUGAAGAGAGGCCGGAAUCGCCGGAGAGUCGCCGAAAUCGCCGAAAUCGCCGGAGAGUUUUGAGAGAGAGAGAGGCCGCGGAGAUAACGAAGAAGAAAGGAGAAGGGUUUUUAUUUCCGUGGAUUCCGACGGACACGGGUUCGUCGGUAUUCCGUCGGUAUAUUUAAAAUAUACCAAAUGCCGAUUCGCGAAAAUUUUCAAGCGGUUUGGUUCUCCCGGGCUAAUUGAAAUUCCGACGGAACGUGUCCGUCAGUAUUUUCCGACGGACACAUUCCGUCGGUAUAUUCCGACGGAAUUCCGACGACUUAGUGUUUAGGGUGUUCAUUUCAAGUUUCUAAAUGCAAAAUCCAAAUCUUUGAUAAUAUAUAUAGUAUUUGCAUAAAGAUUUAACAAUAAAAAUGUUUUAUAACACGAUUUUACACAAUAACAUUUUUUGUAGUGUAAGCUUAUAUAAAUAUGAUUGUAUAAGUAUAUAAUGUUAAGAUGAGAUGUUAUGAAAACAAUGAUAUGCAUACAUAAAUAUUUUAAUGAGUUGUUAUAUUUGAACGGUUGCGAUCUAAUACUAUACUAAACACUUAUUAUGUGUUAUUUUCAUAGUUUUGGCAUCUAAAUUUAUAGAUUUUUAUGAUUGAAACUUUAUAGAAAAACAUGUCGUCGGUAUUUUCCGACGAAAUACCGACGACCUUUCCAAUUUUCAAUGAAACCCGUUGUCGUCGCUAUGUCGUCGGUAUAUUGCGAGGGAUUUCCGACGGACCAUUAAAAAAAAAAAAAAAAAAAACUAAUCAGAAUCUUCUGAAUCUUCAUCAAACUCCCCAACCUCGGCUUCCGGCUCUGAAUGUACGACAGCAUCAUGUCCAAACACAGUCAAAUUCUCAACGAGUUGAACAUUUUCCAAAUCUUCAACUGCCUGGGCGUUGCUGGUAGACUCUGGUUGCAAUGGUUCAUCAUCAUCAGAAGUUCCAUCCACUCGUCCUCUUGGGUUGAUUUGCGUUACAGUAACCCAUGGAUCGUCUCUGUACGUCACCCGAGGGUAACUGAUGUAGCACACCUAUACAUAUCAAUUAUACAAGUAUUAGUAAAAUAUAUAACAUUAAUUAAUUAUAUUGGUAAAAAAUUAUGAAUAGAUUGACAUACCUGAUCAGCUUGCGAACCAAGAAUGAAGGGAUCAUAAUAUUGAAGUUUCCGCCGCGAAUGAACUGAUGUAACACCAAACGCAUCAAUCUUCACUCCUCUAUCUGGGGUGGUGUCAUACCAAUCACAAUAGAAUACUACACAACGCAAUCCAACCAUUCCAGGAAAUUGGAUUUCCAAUAUUUCUUUUAUGUUGCCGUAGUAGACAUCGUCACCAGAAGAAGAUGAAACACCAGCAUCAUAUGUUGUCUUAGAAUGACCUUUCCUUGUGAAUGCAUAUCCUCGCGUACAAAAUUUAGGAUAUGAUUUGACCACAUAGUUUGGUCCCUGCACAAAUUCGCGUAUCCAAUCAUCGAACACAAGACCUCUGGCCAAACCAUCAUUCACCUAUAAAAAAAAACAUAUAUGAUUGCAAAAUUAAUUAGUUUAUAUAUAUUAAAUUUAAACUAAUCAUUUGCAUAGGGUAAUAUGAUAUAUGACUCACAUAACUACGAAGCCACGCAGCAAAUCCGUUAUCUCUAAGUUGUCGAAGCUCAUCUUCUGUUGCAUGCCUGUGAGUCAUACGCAACUCCGCCAUAUAUACACUAUAUACAAAAAUAUUAUCAAUAUGAAAUAAAUUUAUUGAAUAUUAAUCUAACAAUAAAUGAAUAAAUAUUUUUACCUCUCAUAUUGUAGAACAUCUUCACAGUUGGUGAGCAAAUAUGUUUGCAAAUGAGCGUGCUCAGUGUCCGUAAGUCUCCGCUUCGUGAAUUUUCCACUAAGUCGUCCUAUUUCCUUGAACAUGCUUGGGACAGUAACAUGAUAUGUUGCUCUCUCCCCUCUAUCAUCAUGCCGAGCAGGUCUUCGGUGUUUUGUUUGCACUUCUGGUGGAAAAUAAUUUUCAGCAAAGAUUGCAGUUUCUUCAUUGAUCACCUGUGCCACUAUAGAUCCUUCCACCCUGCUUUGAUUUUUGACCAUCUUCUUCAGAUGAUGCAUAUAACGCUCAAAAAUAUACAUCCAUCUGUACUGCACAGGACCACCAAGUUCCAAUUCUCUUGCGAGAUGAAUAGCAAGAUGUUCCAUUACAUCAAAGAAUGAUGGAGGAAAUAUCUUCUCAAGGUUGCACAUGCUGACUAGUGCGUUUAUCUUCAAAUUAUUAAUACCCUCUUCCGUCACUACUCUGUUGCAUAAGUCGCGGAAGAAAACACUAAUCCCUACAUAGAUAAAAGACAUAAUUUUCGUAACUAUUGAGUUUUUAUAAGCAUAAUUGUUAAAUAUAAAAAUAAAUUAAAUUGUAAAAAUAUAAGAUACCUGCAAUUGCUUCAUGAACAUUACGUGGCAAUAAUGCUGAAAAAGAAAACGGAAGGAGGCGCUGCAUAAUUACAUGACAAUCAUGACUCUUCAAGCCAGUAAACUUUCCUUCGCUUCAAUCAACGCAGUUCCCCAAAUUUGAUGCAUACCCGUCAGGAAAUUUCACUUUAUCAACGCAGUUCCCCAAAUUUGAUGCAUAUCCGUCAGGAAAUUACACUAUAUCUGUAAUCCAAUCAAAGAACUCUUCUUUUCUAGCACCAUCAUUAUCAUGCCGAGCAGGUCAUCGGUGUUUUGUAUGCACUUCUGGUGGAAAAUAAUUGUCAGCAAAGAUUGCAGUUUCUUCAUUGAUCACCUGUGCCACUAUAGAUCCUUCCACCCUGCUUUGAAUUUUGACCAUCUUCUUCAGAUGAUGCAUAUAACGCUCAAAAAUAUACAUCCAUCUGUACUGCACAGGAUCACCAAGUUCCAAUUCUCUUGCGAGAUGAAUAGCAAGAUGUUCCAUUACAUCAAAGAAUGAUGGAGGAAAUAUCUUCUCAAGGUUGCACAUGCUGACUAGUGCGUUUAUCUUCAAAUUAUUAAUACCCUCUUCCGUCACUACUCUGUUGCAUAAGUAUGGCUGAUCAGGUGGUAGAAAUCGUCUGUGACAUUCAAACCAACACGUUUUCCUUCCGUUCUUUAGUUGGAAAGCAUCUGUGUCAUCUUGACAAUAUGGACAUGAUAGCCUCCCAUGUGUUGUCCAUCCAGAUAACAUACCAUAUGCUGGAAAGUCACUUAUUGUCCACAUAAGUACUGCCCGCAUCUGAAAGUUUUCUUUGCGCGAAACAUCGUAUGUCUCAAAACCAUGCGCCCAUAGUUGUUGCAACUCAUAUAUUAGUGGUUGAAGAAACACAUCUAGUGAUCUUUUAGGAUGAUCUGGCCCGGGGACGAGAAUUGAGAGAAACAAAAACUCUCGUCGCAUGCACAAGCUCGGCCGUAAGUUGUACGGUGUCACAAUAACUGGCCAUAGAGAAUACUGCCUUCCAUGCUUUCCAAAUGGGCUGAAACCAUCAGUAGAUAAUCCAAGAUAAACAUUUCUUCUCUCUUCCGCAAAUUCUGGAUAUGUUGACUGGAAAUGUUUCCAAGCCUUUGCAUCUGAAGGAUGUCUAAUCUCACCAUUUGUGGAAUGCUCUGCAUGCCAUCUCAUUGCUUUUGCUGUGCGCUCACACUGAUACAACCUCUUCAAUCUUUCCGUCAAAGGCAAAUACCACAUUCUUUUGAAUGGGAUCGGAACUCUUCCCNNNNNNNNNNNNNNNNNNNNNNNNNNNNNNNNNNNNNNNNNNNNNNNNNNNNNNNNNNNNNNNNNNNNNNNNNNNNNNNNNNNNNNNNNNNNNNNNNNNNNNNNNNNNNNNNNNNNNNNNNNNNNNNNNNNNNNNNNNNNNNNNNNAAAAUCAGUAAUCGCAUCCAUUUGGCAUGAAGAAGUUAUCCCACUUUCAAAUCAGGUGAUCCCAGUUUCCCAGUUUGGGAAUAACACAGCUUCUUCUCUACAAUUUUGAUACAAAGGUUGUUUUCCUGCAUCCAACAUGUCAAAAAAUCUCCUAGACUCGGGGUUUGGUUCUUCCCCUCUAUAAUGAUCAUGUACCAUCUGCUCAGUACCUACACCAUAAUCUAUAUCCGUUCUAGAUUCUUCUAACCUAAUAUCAGGCUGAGGUUCGCUAGUACUACCAUAUUCAUAACCAGUUUCCCCAUGAAGGUACCAAACUUUAUAAUUACGUGAAAACCCUUUCAUAUACAAAUGAGUCCAAACAUCAAAUUCUUUUAUAACCUUAUUAUUAUUGCAAGAAGAGCAGGGACAUCUUAACAUACCACUUUUUGCAUCCGGUUGCUGUUGAACAAGCCUCAUGAAUUCUCCAAUCCCUUGAACGUAUUCUUCCGUAAGCAAAUUGGUGUUCGGAUCCAAAUGAGGUUUAUCCAUCCACGAACGAUAAUAAACUUCUGAAGACAUGAUUUUCACGGAAUUGUUAUGACUAAAGAGAAUGAAGAGAGAAUGAAGUGUGAAUGAGUUGAAUGAGGAGGGGUUGUAUUUAUAGGAAAUUGCUUACGGACCUCCGACGACUUUCCGACGAAAUUCCGACGGAUAUAAAGAAGUCCGUCGGAAUUCCGUCGGAAUUGUCCAAUCCCAAACGGCUAUACAACGGUCAUAUGUAUUUGUCGGCAACGGUCACAUGGUUCGUCGGAAUUCCGUCGGAAAAUACCGAUGGAAUUCCGACGACUUUGCUGUUAAUCGGAAUGUCGUCGGAAUUCCGUCGGAAUAUACCGACGAACUUCCGACGACUACAACGGUUACAUUUUUUAUCGGAAUGUCGUCGAAAAGUCGUCGGAAAAUUCCGACGAACCGUAUGUCGUCGGAAUUCCGUCGGAAAUGGUUGACAGAAUUCCGACGACUUCAUUUUUUUGGAUUUGGUCGGAAAUUUGUCAGUAUUCCGUCGCAAAUGUCCGACGACCUUGGUGUCCGUCGGAACCUCCAUCGGAAUUUGGUGUGUUUUCUUGUAGUGUUACUAUGGUCUAAAUUUCUUGUAAGUAAUUAAAGAUCAAAAGGAAGCAUCACAAAAAGGCCUACCUUUUCUUUAUUGCUAAGAUAUCAGAACCUGGGCUUACCUUCCAGAUGUGUCAAUAUUGAGGUACCUGAUAACAAACCAAAGUAUGAGCAACAUUAGUUGAAGAACUGCACGGAAAAAUCCUAAAAACUUAUUCAGAGCUAAAUAUAGUACACCUGAACCAUAUAAGCAAAUAAACAAACACAAUACACUUUGGCAUGCAAACAAAGACGUUUCAGUGAAUAUAUAUUUCUCCAGAUGCUGAGAUGUACAACACAGAACACCACCAUAGUUUUAGAUGUAUAAAUCUCCGAAUAUCCUUUUCUACUCAAGCUAUUGGAGAUGGCAGUGGAGUGACCAGUUCAAUAAUAUCGAUGCAGUCAUACAUAUACAUUUCUCCUACAAAACACAAUCACAGACAUGAGUGAGUGCGCCCAUUUAUUAUAUAUACUUAGGCGCGGAUGGUUUCUAACUGUCCAAAAAAGGUUUGAACAAAAGACGCAGAGACCAUUUCUUAACAUAGAAAAUUUGAUAGACGACCCAGAAAACACAUACAAAAUUUGAUAAAAGACCUAAGUAAUAGAAGAAAAUAAAUAAUGAAAGGAAUCAGAAAGUGAAAAGUAAACUAAUUAGGGUUUAAGCAUGCUACCAUGAAAUCACGUUGCUUUGUAAAUAUUUUUUUCUUUCUCGGCGGUGCAAUCUACACAUCAAGCUACCGUACGUUGUUCUCAACACAAACUUUCUCACCGCAACAUAGCCUCCUCGCAAAACUUACAAAUGUAAACAUGAAAAUCUGCGUUUCUUUGACUAUAUACUUAUACGAAUCUACAAUGAAGGAAUAAUACAAACCUGGAGUUCUUUUGCUCUGAGAAGUCAUAAGGGUGGUUCCUAAAUUGGGACGAUAUGAUGAGGUCUGUUUGGGACCUGGAUCAUGCCAUCGGUUUAUAUAGUGGUAAAAUCUCUUAGGUUGUUGAUUUUUUCUGUCACUAAUGAGACUUUAUGACGUUAAAAGGUCGGUCGCCAACGUUAGGGAGAAUCAAAAAAGGUUGCAACAGCUGGGUUACGCAGAUGGGAGUGAGGAAGAUGAAGAGUGUGAGUGUUAAAGUUCAAAAAAUAGAAAAAAUUGAAGAGUGUGUGGCGAUGCUUUUAUGCUCUUUAAACCUCAGAUCUCUGUAGCAAUUUGUUUAUGGUUUCCCUAUAAUGCCAUUCUCUCCACUCCACAUGCUAAGAAACUACUGACACAGAAAUCCCACGAGAUAUGGACCCAGAAAUCGUAGCCUUAUGUUCAUCUUAGGUUUGCGAGUAGGAUGAUUGUAACCACAAGAUUUUCUAUUUCUUAAAUAAAUUUUUAUCAUCUUUCUAAUCUAUAUCUUUCCAUUAUCGUCGAUGCUCACCAUCUCCUUCAGUCUUCUCUUAAAUUCUUCACCAACAUGAAAUCAACCGAUUUGUUUCUCUUUAUGUAAGUUUUAUAAGUUUAUUUAGUUGUUAAAUGAUAUACAUUAAUUUUUUUUCAUAUUCUUUCUUAUAUACAUGAAGGCUGCCAUGCGAUUUAAGAAUUGGUUAAUAAUAAGACAUGAGCUCAUACUAGAGUAUAUAAUAUAUUAAUGAUGCCUAACAUGUUUACUUAGAGGUUAAUGAUAUACUUUACGUAGAACUACAUAAAGGACAAUAAUAAUGUUAGCAGCUAUUCAAAAUAGAUAGAGUUUACUCUGGAUAUUAUACUAUAUCAAAAAACCAAUAUCUCAUGGUUAAAGAAUGCCUGUUAAGAUGUAAUAUUUAUAAUAAUCUACAAAAAUAUUGUUAGAUGUUAUAUGAAAACAUAAUGGUACCCC